GACAGAGGGUGCGAGCGUUGUUCGGAAUUACUGGGCGUAAAGCGCGCGCAGGCGGCCCAGCAAGUCGGGAGUGAAAUUCCGGGGCUCAACCCCGGAGCUGCUACCGAAACUGCUGGGCUAGGGACCGGUAGAGGCUGGUAGAAUUCCUGGUGUAGCGGUGGAAUGCGUAGAGAUCAGGAAGAAUACCCGUGGCGAAGGCGGCCAGCUGGGCCGGGUCCGACGCUGAGGCGCGAAAGCGUGGGGAGCAAACAGG
rnacentral:rRNA from 1 species